rnacentral:rRNA from 1 species
ACGGGGGCAACCCUGGUGGCGAGUGGCGAACGGGUGAGUAACACAUCGGAACGUACCCAGUUGUGGGGGAUAACCAGUCGAAAGACGGGCUAAUACCGCAUGAUCUGGCGACAGCAAAGCGGGGGAUCGGUAACGACCUCGCGCGAUUGGAGCGGCCGAUGUCCGAUUAGCUAGUUGGUGGGGUAAAGGCCCACCAAGGCUUUGAUCGGUAGCUGGUCUGAGAGGAUGAUCAGCCACACUGGGACUGAGACACGGCCCAGACUCCUACGGGAGGCAGCAGUGGGGAAUAUUGCGCAAUGGGCGAAAGCCUGACGCAGCGACGCCGCGUGGGUGAUGAAGGCCUUCGGG